rnacentral:rRNA from 1 species
CGCGGCCUAUCAGCUUGUUGGUGGGGUAACGGCCCACCAAGGCAUCGACGGGUAGCUGGUCUGAGAGGACGAUCAGCCACACUGGGACUGAGACACGGCCCAGACUCCUACGGGAGGCAGCAGCGGGGAAUAUUGCGCAAUGGGCGAAAGCCUGACGCAGCGACGCCGCGUGCGGGAUGACGGCCCUAGUGGUUGUAAACCGCUUUCAGCAGGGACGAAAAUGACGGUACCUGCAGAAGAAGUCCCGGCUAACUACGUGCCAGCAGCCGCGGUAAUACGUAGGGGACAAGCGUUGUCCGGAUUCAUUGGGCGUAAAGAGCUCGUAGGCGGUUCAGUAAGUUGGGUAUGAAAGCUCCGGGCUCAACCCGGAGAGGCCACUCAAUACUGCUGUGACUAGAGUCCAGUAGAGGAGCGUGGAACUCCUGGUGUAGCGGUGAAAUGCGCAGAUAUCAGGAAGAACACCGGCAGCGAAGGCGGCGCUCUGGGCUGGUACUGACGCUGAGGAGCGAAAGCAUGGGUAGCAAACAGGAUUAGAUACCCUGGUAGUCCAUGCCGUAAAUGUUGGGCACUAGGUGUGGGGAGGAAUCAACCCUCUCCGUGCCGUAGCUAACGCAUUAAGUGCCCCGCCUGGGGAGUACGG